rnacentral:rRNA from 1 species
CGAGUGAGCGGCAAAGCUCAAAUUUGAAAUCUAGCACCUUCGGUGUUCGAGUUGUAAUUUGAAGAUGGUAACCUUGGGUUUGGCUCUUGUCUAUGUUCCUUGGAACAGGACGUCAUAGAGGGUGAGAAUCCCGUCUGAUGAGAUGCCCAUUCCUAUGUAAGGUGCUAUCGAAGAGUCGAGUUGUUUGGGAAUGCAGCUCUAAGUGGGUGGUAAAUUCCAUCUAAAGCUAAAUAUUGGCGAGAGACCGAUAGCGAACAAGUACAGUGAUGGAAAGAUGAAAAGAACUUUGAAAAGAGAGUGAAAAAGUACGUGAAAUUGUUGAAAGGGAAGGGCAUUAGAUCAGACUUGGUGUUUUACGAUUAUCUUCUCUUCUUGAGUUGUGCACUCGUAUUUCACUGGGCCAGCAUCGAUUCGGAUGGCAAGAUAAUGGCAGUUGAAUGUGGCUUCACUUCGGUGGAGUGUUAUAGCUUCUGCUGAUAUUGCCUGUCUGGAUCGAGGGCUGCGUCUUUUGACUAGGAUGCUGGCGUAAUGAUCUAAUGCCGCCC